GGUGCUUUCUCCCAUUCUCCAUUCUGGGUGUAGUCAGUCCUUUCCAUGAGAGCCACCAUACCUGUUAAUGUGGCAGCCAGUGUGGUGGGGUAGAGAGUGUGGUGUGGAAGGAACCCACCAGGCUCUCUGUGCCCUGAGACUGGGAUGGAAACAUUGUUGAGAAUUUGGUGCAGGAGGUUGUCAAAGUUGUUCACAGGGCUGCAGGGACAAAGUGACUCCCUGGCCAACAGCAACAGAGCCAGUGUCACUGGAGCCAGGAAACAAUGGAGUCAUAGUCAAACCCUCUCUGACUACUAUGACAUUUGUAAGCCCCUAGGCGUGGUCAGUAUCUUAGAGGGCAGAUCUGAAAGGCCCUGUGCUGUGGUCUGAAUGUUUGUGCCCCACCCCCGAAAUUCCUAUGUUGGAAUCCUGGCCCCCAGUGUGAUGAUAUUAGGAGAUGGGGCCUUUGGGAGGUGAUGCAGAAAGAGGCCCCAGGGAGCUGCCUCACUCCUUCCACCAAGUGAGCACACAGCUAGAAGGUACCAUCCAUAAAGAUGAAGAAUGCCAAGGACAUCCACCCCUCAUGGCAACAUCUGCAUGUUGACAUACAUCAGUAAUGGUCUGUGAAUCAUUUGAAUUCUGGUUGAAGGCUGACACCGUCAUAGUCUCUCUACUCAUCUCCAUGGCCAAAAUUUGCUUUUGAAAGCAUUUGCUCCAAAGUAUAAAUGACUG
rnacentral:lncRNA from 1 species